GGUGCACACUAUUAAAGCUCAGAGUGGAGGCCAGUCUUGGCCAAAGAACUUCUGAGUGUCGGAAGUGUGCUAUAUUAACGGCAGGAUUUUCGCUAACACCAGUAGAGCUUGCCUCUAUGACUGGAGUUUGAUAGUACUCGCUGCCACAUGC
ensembl:snoRNA SNORA62 Small nucleolar RNA SNORA62/SNORA6 family